rnacentral:RNase_P_RNA from 2 species
UGGGCCGGCAAGACGGUCGCGUCAUUCGUGUCGCAAGGCACAGAUGCCGAGGAACGUCCGGGCUCCGCAGAGCAGGAUGGUGGGUAACACCCACCCGGGGCAACCCGCGAGACAGUGCCACAGAAAACAGACCGCCGCUGAAUCUGGCCUUCGGGUCGUGUUCGGGGGUAAGGGUGAAACGGUGGUGUAAGAGACCACCAGCGGCCAGGGUGACCUGGUCGGCUCGGUAAACCUCGUCCGGAGCAAGGUCAGACAGGAAACUAUGAGGCUGCUCGUCUCGUUUCCGGGUAGGCCGCUAGAGGGCUGCGGCAACGUAGUCCCGAGAGAGAUGGCCGUCCAGCGCUUUCGAGCGUGAACAGAACCCGGCGUAUCAGCCGGCCCAUUCC